rnacentral:rRNA from 1 species
GAUGAACGCUAGCGGCAGGCCUAAUACAUGCAAGUCGAACGGGAUCCAGAUCAAAGCUUGCUUUGGUUUGGUGAGAGUGGCGUACGGGUGCGUAACGCGUGAGCAACCUACCCUUGUCAGGGGGAUAGCCCGGCGAAAGUCGGAUUAAUACCGCAUGUCAUCAUUGAGAGGCAUCUUUCGAUGAUCAAAGAUUUAUCGGACAAGGAUGGGCUCGCGUGACAUUAGCUAGUUGGUAAGGUAACGGCUUACCAAGGCUACGAUGUCUAGGGGCUCUGAGAGGAGAAUCCCCCACACUGGUACUGAGACACGGACCAGACUCCUACGGGAGGCAGCAGUAAGGAAUAUUGGUCAAUGGACGGAAGUCUGAACCAGCCAUGCCGCGUGCAGGAAGACGGCCCUAUGGGUUGUAAACUGCUUUUAUACGGGAACAAACGUCGGUACGUGUACCGGUCUGAGUGUACCGUAAGAAUAAGGAUCGGCUAACUCCGUG